CCUGAAGGGUAGGCCACCUGCAGCCCAGGGGCCACAGAAGGCUAGGGAGAGGGACAGGACCCAGUGAAGUUCCUGAGGCUGGAGAAGCUUGUGUCAGGAAAACGAAAGCGGCUUGUGUGGCUGGAGGUACCAUCAACAUCUGCUAAUUCAAGAGAAAUGAGGCACAUACUCAAUGAGACCCUGACAUCACCAGAGGAAACACUCCAAAUUGCCCUUUCUGUCUGCCAAAAUGUAUCUGAACCUUGAAUUUCAUCUGCAAACACUUCAAAAGAACAAAGGUACACAUGACCUCGUAUGCAGUAAGUCCUGAGAGAAUCCCAUUGCACCUGUGAUUGUGCUGGUCAGGAAAGGCGGAGUCCAUGACUCAAGAAGUUCCCCAACAACACACCCACGUCAGAACCUGAAGUUCUAACUACUACAUCUCAUGCCACCUGCCGACUGGCAAGACUCAUCCCAGGCCACCACUGUUCAAUUCUGGUGGCCCUGCAGACCACACCAGGGAGGACUGUCCGGGGCUCUGAUUCCUUCCCAUACAGUCUGCUUUCCAAGAGGCUCAGGCCCAGAAGGUGGCAUCCUCAGAGACUUGGGAUCUGGAGCCCAUGGAAAGGGCAGGUAAAGAGGCGGCCCCAGGACAGCCAAGGACUGAAUGGGCAGGAUUUUAGAGUUCCAUGUUUGACUUAUCCUGAGAGAUAAAGAUAGAAGACUGCAGCCCAAUUCUCAAAGUCCUCUCUCUAUGCCAAGGGAAGAUUUUUCUUAUUCAUGAAUGCACCAUUUUUCUCCAUCAACUCAUGAAGGUUCAGAGAUGUCCUUGCAAAUUCCAGAAUUUACUUCUUUCAUAAGGUUGAAUAA